rnacentral:pre_miRNA from 14 species
UCAAGUGCUGUGGAUUUCUCUGUGAAUCACCAUAUCAAAUCUAAUGUGGUGGUGGUUUGCAAAGUAAUUCAUAGUGCUUCA